AUGGAAGUAUUUGGUGAUCGGGAUGAGCCGACCGAUCCUGAAUACAUAGAGGUGGAUCCGACCGGGCGGUACAUGCGCUACAAUGAGGUGUUGGGGAGAGGAGCUGUCAAGACUGUUUACAAGGCAUUUGAUGAGGCCGAAGGUAUUGAAGUUGCAUGGAAUCAAGUGAGCAUAGAUGAGCUGAUGCAGUGUCCAGAUAACCUUGAGAGGCUCUACGCGGAAGUUCAUCUACUGAAAUCUCUCAAGCAUGAAAAUGUAAUGAAGUUCUACAAUUAUUGGGUCGAUGAUCGAAAGAAGACAAUCAAUGUUAUUACUGAACUGUUUACAUCUGGCAGUCUUAGGCAUUACCGACGGAAACAUCCACGCGUUGAUUUGAAAGCAAUAAAGAAUUGGGCAAGACAGAUUCUUCAUGGAUUAGAUUACUUGCACAGCCACCAACCUCCGGUUAUCCACAGAGACCUGAAGUGUGAUAAUAUUUUUGUUAAUGGCAAUCAUGGACAAGUUAAGAUUGGAGAUCUUGGACUAGCUACAAUUAUGCUAACGCCUAAAGCAAGAAGUGUUAUUGGUACUCCUGAAUUCAUGGCACCUGAGCUAUAUGAUGAGAAUUACGAUGAACUGGUGGAUAUUUACUCCUUCGGUAUGUGCAUGUUGGAAAUGUUCACUCUUGAAUAUCCAUACAAUGAAUGCAAAAAUGCAGCUCAGAUUUUUAAAAAAGUAUCCAAGGGUGUCAAACCGGCUGCACUGUCCAAAAUUGUAAAUGCUGAAGUUAAGAAUUUCAUUGAGAAAUGUUUAGUUCCUGCUUCUGAGAGGCUGUCCGCGAAAGAACUAUUGCAAGAUCCAUUUCUUUGCCCCAAUAAUGCAAAUGGUUUUGCUAGCAUUACGGUUCCAUCAUCAAUUCCCAAAGCAGUACGGAUCUCUCCGGAAUCUUUGCACAUGGACGUUGAUACUCAUGAAUCUAUGUGUGCUAGCUCAGGCGAGAAAAAUGUCGUUGGGUCUCCACAUAAUUCCGUGUUGGAGUUCACGAGAACUAACAGAAAUACGGAACUCAAUCUAAAGGGCGAGAAAGUUGAUGAUAGUUCAGUCUCACUGGUUCUACGGAUUGCUGAUUUGUGUGGUCAAGCAAGAAAUAUCCAUUUCCUCUUCUACCUCGAAUCUGACACAGCUAUGUCUGUUGCUGCGGAAAUGGUUGAACAGUUGGAGCUAGCAGACUGCGAUGUUACUUUCAUUGCUGAUUUUAUUGACCUUCUGAUAGUCAAUCUUGUUCCUGGUCGGAAACUGGCAAAUGAUGCAGCGAUGAGUCCAUAUGUGGAAUCUAAAACGUGUGGAAGUGAGCAAGUAACUAUUUCCCAGAAGAACCCAUUAGAGAUGCCACCUGAUUUUGUGUUAGUUCAAAGUACAAUGCAUCCUAAAGAUAUCAGUGCAUCGCCGAAUAAAUAUCUUGAAUCUGUCUUAAGUGCAACUAACCUAGAGGGGCCAAAGUGCUCUGAGGGAUCGGACUUUUCUGCGCAGCUUGCUGGGAGUUCUGAAAGUCCGAGCUACGAUGGCACUGGUGACUGUGGGACUAUGUACUGUGGUGGGUACAAAGAGGGAAUCCACAAACUAGACUGCAACCAUGUUCUAGGUGAUGGGUCAAGGAACAUUUCGAUUUUCCAUAUAGAUGAAGCAUCACCCCCUUCGGAGCUGGUGAGUGGUUGCUCGUCAAUUUCCAUUACCGAUAGUCAAGAUGUGCUGAAUGGGGAGCUUGAUUUGAUUGAAGUUGAGUACAAAGAUUGGUUUGAUGAAUUAGCAAGGAUGCGGGAAGAAGCUAUGGAAGGAGGACAGGAGAAGUGGUUACAAUAUAAUGAUGUUUAA
rnacentral:rRNA from 1 species